ACCCCCGGGCAAUGGGCAAGGAGAUAUCUUGUUGUUAGUGGUGUUCUUAUAUCAGUCAGGGGCAGAGGAGACGGCAGUCCUUUGUUCAUCCUAGCUUGAUGCCUGGCUUGGUAUCCAAAGCUGUUUUAUGCCUAGGACUCAUAA